UACGGAAGGCAGCAGUGGGGAAUAUUGCACAAUGGGCGCAAGCCUGAUGCAGCCAUGCCGCGUGUAUGAAGAAGGCCUUCGGGUUGUAAAGUACUUUCAGUCGUGAGGAAGGUGUUAAGGUUAAUAACCUUAGCAAUUGACGUUAGCGACAGAAGAAGCACCGGCUAACUCCGUGCCAGCAGCCGCGGUAAUACGGAGGGUGCGAGCGUUAAUCGGAAUUACUGGGCGUAAAGGGCACGCAGGCGGUUAAUUAAGUUGGAUGUGAAAUCCCCGGGCUUAACCUGGGAAUGGCAUUCAAGACUGGUUAGCUAGAGUCUUGUAGAGGGGGUAGAAUUCCAUGUGUAGCGGUGAAAUGCGUAGAGAUGUGGAGGAAUACCGGUGGCGAAGGCGGCCCCUGGACAAAGACUGACGCUCAUGUGCGAAAGCGUGGGGAGCAAACAGGGAUUAGAUACC
rnacentral:rRNA from 1 species